AUAAUAAUUGAAAUGUUAUUGUCUUAAGUCAAAAUCACAAUGAUUACUUCAUUUCAUUAGGCCCGAUGGGUUUUUGCCACGUUUAUAUUGGUUUGGAUGUCAGGAGGAUCAAGACGAUCUGUGUGAAAGAGACGCCCAAAAAAGGUCAACAUCUAACUGAUUAUUGCUAAACAUUCUGUAAGCAUAAACAUUCAAGAGUGAUACCUCCCUCUGUUGUCUAUUUUUGGGUUGAAAGUCUCAAUCACUUGGUCAGGUGUCACCCAAGCCUUAUCUUCCAUCACAGGUAAGAUGUAGACAAAUCCAGUACUGUCAUUUCUUCUU